rnacentral:rRNA from 1 species
GACGAACGCUGGCGGCGUGCCUAAUACAUGCAAGUCGAGCGGACGAAUCGAAAGCUUGCUUUUGAUUCGUUAGCGGCGGACGGGUGAGUAACACGUGGGCAACCUGCCCUGUAGACGGGGAUAACACCGAGAAAUCGGUGCUAAUACCGGAUAACACGAAAUGUCGCAUGACGUUUCGUUGAAAGACGGCGCAAGCUGCCGCUACAGGAUGGGCCCGCGGCGCAUUAGCUAGUUGGUGAGGUAACGGCUCACCAAGGCGACGAUACGUAGCCGACCUGAGAGGGGGAUCGGCAACACUGGGACGGAGACACGGCCCAGACUCCUACGGGAGGCAGCAGUAGGGAAUCUUCCGCAAUGGACGAAAGUCUGACGGAGCAACGCCGCGUGAGCGAAGAAGGCCUUCGGGUCGUAAAGCUCUGUUGUUAGGGAAGAACAAGUAACGCAGUAACUGGCGUUACCGUGACGGUACCUAACGAGAAAGCCACGGCUAACUACGUG